AAGUGCACAAGUAAGUCAAAUGCAUUAGUUAAUUUCAGGUGGUUAAUCAAAGAUCCAUACAACAUCAUCUGAUAUGAUUUCAUAGUUUAAAGCAUUGUUUAUGUAUUUUUUAUUAUAAAUAAGUGCUAUAAAUGUUUUUGCUUGCGCGCUUUGCACGCUCACAUGAACUAUUUGUGCCCCAGGUGUGCCCCAGUACAGUAUUAGGUCUAGUGACGCCCCUGAUCACCAGUCUGAAAAAGUCAUAUGAAACAUCAAGCAAGAUUUUUGUUAAAUCUAUGACACAACAACAAAUAGCAACAGAGUGCUGACUCAAAGUGGCAUGGGUUCUGGGUAAACACAAGAAGCCAUUCUCUGAUGCAGAAAUAAUUAAAGAAUGCUUGACUGAAGUGAUGGGUGCCAUGUUUGAAGGCAAAGAAAAGGAGGAAAUGACAGCUAAAAUAAAUCAAAUCCCACUCUCUGAUGCCACAGCUAUCAGACGUACUGAAAUACUGGCUGGUGAUUUGUCCAAGCAGCUUUGUGGUGGAAUAAAAAACGCAGAGUGCAUAUCCCUAGCAGUGAAUGAGUCCACUGACAUCACUGACAAUGCUCAGUUGUUGGUGUUUGUGAGGUAUUAUGAUGAGGAAAAAUGGGAGUUUAUCGAAGAUGUUUUGGGCCUGGCAAACCUCAGUGGACAAACAAGAGGAGAAGACAUCUCUAAAGCAAUAUCAGAAAUCCUGAAUGAAAAAGGGAUAGAUCUGAAGAAAGUUGUGUCCAUUGCUACUGAUGGAGCUCCAGCCAUGUUGGGGAGAGAGAAGGGACUGGUUCCGCGUCUGAGAACACCACCCUGGCCUGAUAGCUUAUCACUGCAUAAUCCACCAUUCUGUCCUUUGUGCAAGUCUUGGAGAAGUGUACCCUGAAAUCAUGACAACAAUGAUGAAACUUAUAAACUUCUGGAGAGCAUCAUCUGCACUGCAGCACCGCUUGCUGCGCACAUUCCUAACAGAGGUAGAUGCUGCUUUUGAUGAUUUGCUCGUGCACAACAACUUUAGAUGGCUGAGCAAAGGCAGGGUCCUGGAGCGUUUUUGGGCCAUUAGAGACGAGCUGCAAGUGUGUCUGUCCCAGCAAAAUAGCGCAAAAGCAAAACAGUUCCUGGAAUUUCUGCAAAAUGACUGAUAUAACCUCCCAUCUCAAUGACCUAAAUCUCAAGCUACAGGGGAAAAAGAACACAGUGUGAGAGCUGAUGUCAGAAGUCCGUGCUUUCCAGACGAAGCUGGAGCUUUUCAAAAGUGACAUACAGGAGGAACUGCUCCACUUCUCCAAACUUCUGGAACUGACCAAAAGAGAGGGAGAUCAUCAGUGCUAUUUGGAAUUCUUGGAAAAACUCAUUGCAAAUUUUAAGACUCACCUUGAUGGCUUCAUUUUGGGAAAACAAGUCCUGCUGUUCAUUGAAAACCCAUUCCUGAUCAGAAAUGUGUGUUCUCUGCAGAAGCAAAACUAGUCUUCCCAUGGACCAAGUAGACAGGUAGCCCGCUGAAACUGACCCUUUCUGGCGCCUUCCCACUUGGAAUGUACCAUGUAAAAAAAUGGGGUUGAGGUACAUGUACUAAGGGAGAAUAUAAUCAAUUGAUGGAGUCGUCAUUUAUAAUUCAUACAAUAUAUUGAAAGGUGUAUUACUGAAACCAGUUAGUUCCAUGAAUUACAAAAAUAUUAAAAAAUAUUAAUUCUUAAUUCAUAGUACUCCCCUACGCUGCUAGAUAAUGUGGUUAACAACCCGUCAAUUCAGUAAUUUUCCCAUCUCUUUCAGGGGCCGAGAGAAGAGACUUUGAACAUACGUUUGGAGUAUCAUAUUUGAAAACUUCAAAAUGGUUUGGCGCUGCGUUAUCUGCCUUAUUUUUUAUCACUUUUUCAUUGAAACUCUUAUUAAGCCACAUAAAUCGAAUGCACAACCGCAGCCAUGACUUGAGGUUGCUUUGUGUUAUUGACAGAUGUACAGAGGAAUAUCGAGUGUAUAACUCAUUCGUUCAUCAUGUAAAGAGAAGACACUCCCAACAUCUUGUUGAAAGCACCAGACAGGAGGUGAACGGCCACACGAGGAAAGUCAAGGACCGCUGCAGCAACAACAAAACAUUCAACCUGAACAACAUCCUCAGGAUUCCAGCAUCACCAGUCAACAGCUCUGUACAGCAAUCCCGUCCAAAGGCAAAACCUAGUAACUCACGUCUAGCUGAUUUUGACAAAACAAAGGAAAACCAAUCUAUCUUGAUGCUGUCUUACAAAGAUCUACAAAGUCAUCAAACGUAUAGAUGUUUUCUUGAGCUUUCAUUUUCUUGCCGAUUGAGCCAUGGAUUGAAUCUGCUCUCAUGAACGUGUGCCCUUUCUCCAGAUAUUUUAUUACAAUCUCGGGUGGGCCCCAUUCUGCGUUUGCACAUUGGGCAAGAACCGUGUACAGCGUCCAGUUUUUAUUUUAACCUCCACAGUUAUCUGCCCAAAAGAGUAUGCAAGGGGAAAAAUCAAGAACAAUACAUUUAAUGAAGGUGCUUGCAACGUCCUGGGCCAAUCUUCCAAAUAUCCCCUCGUGCCAUAAUAUCACAUAAUCAGGUUGACCGUCGGCCCCCAUUCGUGCAAAUGUCUCAUUAAAGACAAUAAGGCGACUGACAAAGAAGCUCCGAUUGGUCCCUUGAGAUACUAAGUUUUUCUGUUGUAUCUACGCGGUUAUGUGGUAGUUGCUAGGUCCUGCCAUGCGCGUAACAGCUUACUUACGGAACAAAUUACAAUAUCGCAUACACUAAUGUAAAGCACAUCACCUAGGAACUCCAAAAUUAUUAUCAGCUCAGUUUUGACCAAAAUUGAGUUACUGGGUUUUGCCUUUGGACGCGAGAGCUGACACAGAUGAAGGGCAAAUGGAUAGUAACCAAGACAGAGGUGGCACCGUUCACCAGAUCUGACAACACAGGCCACAGCCUUUGUGAUAAAUGUACGGGUCAAACAUCGCCUCUCACAGAAAGGUAUAAAUGACAUUGUUGCUGGUGUACAACAGUACCAAUCAUCACUGGGGGGCAACAUAAGAAGCCAAUUAGAGCAGGUUUUAAAGAGGCACUCGGGGAGCACAUCAGGACACCUUCAAAACAAAGUAAUGGAUGUCUUUGACAGUUUUGUUGACCCCUUCGUGAGUGUUGGAACAUAAUUUCAACAGAACAGUGUUAUGAAGAAGCAGUUAAGCAUUUUGGAUGCAGAGGAAAUUCUAUAUGUGUUCAUAUUUUUGAUUGUUUCAUUGAAAA